CUUUUUCACCACCAGGGCCAUCCAGCCAGGUCGGUCAAGCAAUCGAAACUACUGAUGACAGCCGGAAUGAAGUAAUGAUCGUAGUUUUCUUCAACUCUGUGAUCUUGAACUCGUUUCAAUCUACACUUGCAUGCUAAUCAGAAAUUAUCAAUGGCUGAUAUAUUAAACCACAAGAGAUAUUGAAUCAAAAUAAUAGGGGCAAUGACAUGGCAACAAGGAGCUCAACUCCAAUGGUAUUUCUUGCAAGAUAUUUCAUUUAAUAAUUAACAAAGCUAUUUGACGAUAACUAUGUAUAUGUUACAGUAGUGAAGAUCUCCAUGAUCGUCAAUAUCGUGUUAAAGCUUCCAUCAACAGUUUUCAAUCAGUUCUUGUCAGUAUAUAAGCCUUAAUGAGUUCUAAUUACAGCGAUGACAUUAUUCGUACCUAUAGCAAUCUGCAUGAUGGAGCUGCUUUACAGAAGUAAAAAAGAAAGAGCAUCAAUGGAGGUUGAUGAGCAAACAUCUUUGCUUGUACUAUUACUCAUCUUCGCGAAAUAUGUGAUUUGGUAGCUUUGCUGAUACUUUUGGACUGAUUGACUGUCUGUCAGUGCUUUGUUACAAAAAUCAAAUUUGCUUUUAUUCAUCAGCAGGCUGAUAAUCCUAUCAAAUUAUCAGGGGCUGCAUCUGCUCUGUCCUUGACAGACAACGAGCCAGGCGCAUGUCUUACUCUAUUAACAAGCAUGGGAUUUGCUUCCGCAGGCCGAGGGAAGCAACAAUCCUCAGCUUUCCACAUCUC